CGGACACUUUGACAGCCCGUCUGAAGGCGACUGCAUAAAGUUUGAUAAAGAAUUUACAUCACCAGUUACAUCUAAGGUUUAUAAAACUGACUCUCCGACAGUUGCACUUAAGAACGAAUUUUUCAGCAACUAUCCUUCAUUGACAGGAGUGUUAGAACUCGGCUUUACUUUUGGGAGUCGAGAGGUGAGUGUUUCUCUCUUUAUGAUAAUAUUCAUUUGACUCUGAUGGUAUAAAAAAUGGACAGUUUCAACAUGAAACAAAUGACCCACUCAAAGCAUCUGUUUGUCUUUCCAGGUCACUAUUUAUCUUAUGUCCUUCAACACACAUGCAGGUAUG